GGGCCCCAUCUUUCUCUUUGGACCCCAGAGGAAGGCUACCUAGCACAGCAGGCCCAGAAGAACUUUUCUUCACCUUUCACUCCUAGUCUCCAGUUUGAAAGAAUUCGAGAAUUCCCAGCUGUAGCCAGCAGCUAUUAUCUUGCUGUAGCUGGGAGGAGAGUCUGGUUCCAUGGCUCCAAAAGCAGCAUAAAUCAAGUUUUCUGGGAGAGGGUUAAGAAAGGGUGUUCAACAGCUGCCGCCAUGGGAGGAGCUCAUACACAGCCGUGCACAUGGCCACACACGCACACAUUGUUUGUCUUGGGCCCAGUUUCCUUUGCCCUCCAGGUGAUGUUCUCCUCUCCCCAUAUCCCUCAGGUACACAGUAUCUUCUGCCCUGAACUCCACUCUCAAAACCUGCUUUCAGAAAAGAAACUUUAAAACUCGUCCGUUUACAGUGUAUAUGGUUGAUAGGUUAUAAUGGGGCUGCCCACCCAGGGGUACGAGUAUUUUAACAGGAUCAAAGCUUUAAACCAAAGGAACAGAGCUCUAAAAACUGUGGAAUUCCAGGCAUCUGCCAGUGGGAAGGGAGUGUUUAAACUGAGGGGCAAUGAGGCCUUUUUUGGUGCACCUGAAAUCACAUCAUGUAGACAGUUGCUUAUAUGUUA
rnacentral:lncRNA from 10 species